AUUGAACGCUGGCGGCAGGCCUAACACAUGCAAGUCGAACGGUAACAGGAAACAGCUUGCUGUUUCGCUGACGAGUGGCGGACGGGUGAGUAAUGUCUGGGAAACUGCCUGAUGGAGGGGGAUAACUACUGGAAACGGUAGCUAAUACCGCAUAACGUCGCAAGACCAAAGAGGGGGACCUUCGUGCCUCUUGCCAUCGGAUGUGCCCAGAUGGGAUUAGCUAGUAGGUGGGGUAACGGCUCACCUAGACGACGAUCCCUAGCUGGUCUGAGAGGAUGACCAGCCACACUGGAACUGAGACACGGUCCAGACUCCUACGGGAGGCAGCAGUGGGGAAUAUUGCACAAUGGGCGCAAGCCUGAUGCAGCCAUGCCGCGUGUAUGAAGAAGGCCUUCGGGUUGUAAAGUACUUUCAGCGGGGAGGAAGGGAGUAAAGUUAAUACCUUUGCUCAUUGACGUUACCCGCAGAAGAAGCACCGGCUAACUCCGUG
rnacentral:rRNA from 1 species